rnacentral:rRNA from 1 species
UGUCACAGCCAUAUCACCCUGUAGCCCAAGACCGGUUGCCCACUGAAGCUAAGCAGGGUUGACCCUGGUUAGUACCUGGAUGGGAGACCUCCUGUGAAAACUAGGUUGCUGUUGGAA